AUGGCGUGGGCGACACGGUUCCUGUCAGCAGUGUGCUUCUUCGCGGCGGGCGUCCUCUUCGCCCCAGAUGUCUUCAUCGGCGACCGCUCCGGCUCCGGCGCCACCGCCGUCACGGCCGCCAAGGUGUCCCACCUCCUCUGCUUCGCCACCUGCUGGGGCGCUGCGCUCUGGGCUACCUUCAUCGGUGGAAUCAUCAUGUUCAAGAAUCUGCCGAGGCACCAGUUCGGGAACCUGCAGGGGAAGAUGUUCCCGGCCUACUUCACGCUCAUCUCCGCCUGCGCCGCCGUCUCCGUCGCUGCCUUCGCCUACCUCCACCCGUGGAAGGCCGCCUCCGCCGUCGAGCGCUACCAGCUUGGCUUCCUCAUCUCCGCGCUCGGCUUCAACCUCUCCAACCUGCUGGUCUUCACCCCCAUGACCAUUGAGAUGAUGAAGAAGAGGCACAAGAUCGAGAGAGAGCUUAGCAUCGGUGACGAGGUCGGGUGGUCGAAGAACGUCAAGACGGCAAAAAGCAACCCUACCCUCGCUGCGAUGAACAAGAAGUUUGGGAUGAUCCACGGUCUCUCAUCGCUGGCCAACAUCUUGUCGUUCGGCAGCCUUGCCAUGCACUCCUGGUACCUUGCCAGCAAGCUUGAGCUGUGA
rnacentral:rRNA from 1 species